GCAGCAUGAUUGAAGCUUGCUUCAAUCGAUGGCGACCGGCGCACGGGUGAGUAACACGUAUCCAACCUGCCGAUAACUCGGGGAUAGCCUUUCGAAAGAAAGAUUAAUACCCGAUAGUAUAGUAUUUCCGCAUGGUUUCACUAUUAAAGAAUUUCGGUUAUCGAUGGGGAUGCGUUCCAUUAGAUAGUUGGCGGGGUAACGGCCCACCAAGUCAACGAUGGAUAGGGGUUCUGAGAGGAAGGUCCCCCACAUUGGAACUGAGACACGGUCCAAACUCCUACGGGAGGCAGCAGUGAGGAAUAUUGGUCAAUGGACGAGAGCCUGAACCAGCCAAGUAGCGUGAAGGAUGACUGCCCUAUGGGUUGUAAACUUCUUUUAUACGGGAAUAAAGUGGAGUAUGCAUACUCCUUUGUAUGUACCGUAUGAAUAAGGAUCGGCUAACUCCGUGCCAGCAGCCGCGGUAAUACGGAGGAUCCGAGCGUUAUCCGGAUUUAUUGGGUUUAAAGGGAGCGUAGGCGGGUGCUUAAGUCAGUUGUGAAAGUUUGCGGCUCAACCGUAAAAUUGCAGUUGAUACUGGGCGCCUUGAGUGCAGCAUAGGUAGGCGGAAUUCGUGGUGUAGCGGUGAAAUGCUUAGAUAUCACGAAGAACUCCGAUUGCGAAGGCAGCUUACUGGACUGUAACUGACGCUG
rnacentral:rRNA from 1 species